UUCUGGAUAGUUCCCGUACAGGCGGUCAUUCUCCUCAUCGUACUGCCACGCCAGCUGUGUGCCAUCUGGAUCACGUGUGUCGGGCGUACCUGUACCUGUUGGGGUGUUGAAGUAAUCUGUGAGCCACGGGGACUCAACAAUCUAUGACCUUAGUACCGAAACUAGUCAAGUUAUUAGGUGAGGAAGGUUCAGUGUUUAGGUUGCAGCAUCCUAAGCAUUUAUGGUGGCUAACAUAUGAAGAACAAGGUUAUAGUUGUGGUGGUCUACGCGAGCGGUCGGAGACUAGAUGAUCACUAAGUGAUCCUGAUCACCUACCUACGUCAAACAUAACCCCACUGUGUUCCCGAUCGAAGAGAGGUCUUCGAAGGGGACAAUCACGGUAACGCACACGGUUGACAGUUUUAUUAGUGUUAGUUCAAGUUAUCUAUAACCAGGUGUUAACAAAUAAUCCAUGUUGCCACAUAACCGCGGGCACGGCUUUCCAAAAGAUUAAACCCUGCAGGGG
rnacentral:lncRNA from 1 species